GACGAACGCUGGCGGCGUGCCUAAUACAUGCAAGUCGAACGCAGUGGGGACGGGUGAGUAACACGUGGGUAACCUCCCAUCAGAGGGGAUAACACUUGGACACAGGUGCUAAACCGAUACUGAUGGAUGAACCCGCGGUGCAUUAGCUAGUUGGUGAGGUAACGGCACACCAAGGCCACGAUCCAUAGCCGACCUGAGAGGUUGUGCGGCCACACUGGGACUGACACACGGCCCGGACUCCUACGGGAGGCAGCAGUAGGGACUCUACGGACAUGGACGAAAGUCUGACCGAGCAACGCCGGGUGAGUGAAGAAGGUUUGCGGUUCGUAAAACUCUGUUGUUAUAGAAGCGGUAUCUAACCAGAAGGCCACGGCGAACUACGUGCCAGCAGCCGCGGUAAUAC
rnacentral:rRNA from 1 species